rnacentral:rRNA from 1 species
UGCCAGACUCCUACGGGAGGCAGCAGUGAGGAAUAUUGGUCAAUGGGCGGGAGCCUGAACCAGCCAAGCCGCGUGAGGGAAGAAGGUACAGCGUAUCGUAAACCUCUUUUGUCAGGGAACAAAGGCGGGGACUAGUCCCCGGAUGAGGGUACCUGAAGAAAAAGCAUCGGCUAACUCCGUGCCAGCAGCCGCGGUAAUACGGAGGAUGCGAGCGUUAUCCGGAUUUAUUGGGUUUAAAGGGUGCGCAGGCGGCCUGUUAAGUCAGCGGUCAAAUUGCGGGGCUCAACCCCGUACUGCCGUUGAAACUGCAUCCCUUAAGUGCGCGAGAAGUAUGCGGAAUGCGUGGUGUAGCGGUGAAAUGCAUAGAUAUCACGCAGAACUCCGAUUGCGAAGGCAGCAUGCCGGCUCCACACUGACGCUGAGGCACGAAAGCGUGGGUAUCGAACAGGAUUAGAUACCCGGGUAU